GACGAACGCUGGCGGCGUGCUUAACACAUGCAAGUCGAGCGGUAAGGCCCUUCGGGUACACGAGCGGCGAACGGGUGAGUAACACGUGGGUGACCUGCCUCUAGCUCUGGGAUAAGCCUGGGAAACUGGGUCUAAUACCGGAUAUGACUCCACGGCGCAUGUUGUGGGGUGGAAAGCCUUGUGCGGCUAGAGAUGGGCCCGCGGCCUAUCAGCUUGUUGGUGGGGUGAUGGCCUACCAAGGCGACGACGGGUAGCCGGCCUGAGAGGGCGACCGGCCACACUGGGACUGAGACACGGCCCAGACUCCUACGGGAGGCAGCAGUGGGGAAUCUUGCGCAAUGGGCGAAAGCCUGACGCAGCGACGCCGCGUGAGGGAUGACGGCCUCGG
rnacentral:rRNA from 1 species